AGAACAUACACCUGAGAGCAAGCAUUCAACACAAGCCCAUUAUUCCUUUUAGAACUUAAUGGAGCUAAACGUGACUGUGCUGAAAUGAAAUACUGCGCAUUAACUAUGGAGCCUGUUGUGAUAAACCUUCCCUUUCAUGGACAUGCUUUAGUGUUUGAUCACAGCACGCCAUGCCAACCCAGCUAACCUCCACUCUCAGAUCUUCAGACUGCAGUGCAGCAUAUACGUACUCAUCAAAGACCCGGUCUGAUCCUAGCUCACCUCAAGAGAGUGUGACUGGGUCAUGUAUGCUGACCCAUGCCUGGAAAAAUGAAAGAUUUCCAGCAAUCUAAGUGAUUAGCGAUGACUAAUCAAGUCGUGCCUAAUGACAGAAUGUUAAUUACAGUGUGGUGGAAGUAUCUCUCUGCUCCUAUCUGUGAUCACAGGCAGUUUGCAUAUUUGCAGUGUACCUGAAACAGCCCAUCAGGAGCUCUCCUUAUCUCAGGCUACCCGGGAUAUGAAAGCACCACCAUGUUGUAGAAGUUCUGUGCAUCUGCGUACCUGUGUAUCGAAAGCUAUAAGAGUGUUAACUCAUGCAUGCAUAUGGAUUAUUAGUUAAAAUACUUAUAUGAUUUUGGCACGUUUAAAGUUUGACUGAUUUAUAUCUGUCAGAGGUUUGAUGAAUGAUCACAUUUCAAGUCUAAUCAUUCACAAAGCCUUGGUAGGGUUACACUGCCAAAAAUGACUUAACUAGAUGAUCUUCAUCUUUCAGUUAUUUUAUUGAAUUGUGAAAAUUAGCUUGAAAUGAGCAUUUCUUAUAGCGCAUGGUUUAAAAUAGCUUUCUUAUACUCUUUUAAUUAAAAAAAAAAUACAUCACAUGUUACAACAAAUGUUUGACAUUGACCAUUAAAAAACAAAACAGUUUGGAUUAUGGAUUACCUGCCAGAGGGCUCUGGAUCUUCAGCUAAGCAAUACUAGCUAAACGGAACUAACUAUGAUUAACAUAAAAAUGAAUGCGUGUAUGGAAAUAAU